GUGGGCCUACGGGAGGCAGCAGUGAGGAAUAUUGGUCAAUGGUCGGGAGACUGAACCAGCCACGCCGCGUGAGGGAUGAAGGUACAGAGUAUCGUAAAGUUCUGUUGAAGGGGAAAAAGAGCGGAGAGAGGAAAUGCUUUCUGAUUGAUAUUACCCUUCGAGGAAGUCACGGCUAACUACGUGCCAGCAGCCGCGGUAAUACGUAGGUGGCGAGCGUUAUCCGGAAUGAUUGGGCGUAAAGGGUGCGUAGGCGGCCUGCUAAGUCUGGAGUGAAAGGUACCGGCUCAACCGGUACAGGCUCUGGA
rnacentral:rRNA from 1 species